rnacentral:rRNA from 1 species
CCUACGGGUGGCAGCAGUGGGGAAUAUUGGACAAUGGGGGCAACCCUGAUCCAGCCAUGCCGCGUGUGUGAAGAAGGCCCUCGGGUUGUAAAGCACUUUCAGGGAGGAAGAACGCCUGGUGGUUAAUACCCAUCAGGAAAGACAUCACUCACAGAAGAAGCACCGGCUAACUCCGUGCCAGCAGCCGCGGUAAUACGGAGGGUGCGAGCGUUAAUCGGAAUUACUGGGCGUAAAGCGCGCGUAGGUGGCUUGAUAAGCCGGUUGUGAAAGCCCCGGGCUCAACCUGGGAACGGCAUCCGGAACUGUCAAGCUAGAGUGCAGGAGAGGAAGGUAGAAUUCCCGGUGUAGCUGUGAAAUGCGUAGAGAUCGGGAGGAAUACCAGUGGCGAAGGCGGCCUUCUGGACUGACACUGACACUGAGGUGCGAAAGCGUGGGUAGCAAACAGGAUUAGAUACCCCUGUAGUC